AACGAACGCUGGCGGCAUGCCUAACACAUGCAAGUCGAACGAGACCUUCGGGUCUAGUGGCGCACGGGUUCGUAACGCGUGGGAACCUGCCCUUAGGUUCGGAAUAACUCCCCGAAAGGGGUGCUAAUACCGGAUAAUGUCUUCGGACCAAAGAUUUAUCGCCUUUGGAUGGGCCCGCGUUGGAUUAGCUAGUUGGUAGGGUAAAAGCCUACCAAGGCGAGGAUACAUAGCUGGUCUGAGAGGAUGAUCAGCCACACUGGGACUGAGACACGGCCCAGAAUACUACGGGAGGGAGCAGUGGGGAAUAUUGGAAAAUGGGCGAAAGGCUGAACCAGCAAUGACGGGUGAGUGAUGAAGGGCUUAGGGUAGUAAAGCUCUAUUAAAAGGGAAGAUAAUGACAGUAACGGGAGAAUAAGCACCGGCUAACUACGUG
rnacentral:rRNA from 1 species